ACAUGAAGUUAUGGAAAGUUCUGCUUGGCUGACAGAAUAAAUUGUGCAUUCUAAUUAGGCUAGUUCAGAGUAACAAUGAGUUGUGUUUCGCUCACAGAGUAAUGAUGUGUUAUAAUUGGUCCACAGGUGCAUGACAGGAGCGUCAGUCUCUUCCCGGAUGGGCUGGAGGAGGACGGCACGCCUUUUGACACUCGACCUCUGACCUCGCCCAUCUCUGAAAUCAGAACAGACAGUGCAAUGAGGGUCAGACUGAGCUCUAAUGAGUCAAUCAAUUCAUGGGAGGAAUGCAGGACUUCAGAUGUUACCCUAACACACUAACUAAUAGACACUGGAGGACUGGAGGUGCAUCCAGGCCUCCUGUCCUCCUCCAUCCCCAGUCAGAGUGCCACUGCCCCCUCUGCCACCCCAGAGUACACCCCCUAGUGGGGAGGUAUUUUAUCCCAAACGCGGCGGAGGACACCGCUAACAACAGUGUGUUGAGUCUCAUCCUGGACGCCUAC